ACGGGAGGCAGCAGUGGGGAAUAUUGCACAAUGGGGGAAACCCUGAUGCAGCAACGCCGCGUGAGCGAAGAAGUAUUUCGGUAUGUAAAGCUCUAUCAGCAGGGAAGAAAAUGACGGUACCUGACUAAGAAGCACCGGCUAAAUACGUGCCAGCAGCCGCGGUAAUACGUAUGGUGCAAGCGUUAUCCGGAUUUACUGGGUGUAAAGGGAGCGCAGACGGAACGGCAAGUCUGAUGUGAAAGCUCAGGGCUCAACCCUGGAACUGCAUUGGAAACUGUCGAUCUGGAGUAUCGGAGGGGUAAGCGGAAUUCCUAGUGUAGCGGUGAAAUGCGUAGAUAUUAGGAGGAACACCAGUGGCGAAGGCGGCUUACUGGACGAUAACUGACGUUGAGGCUCGAAAGCGUGGGGAGCAAACAGGAUUAGAUACCCUGGUA
rnacentral:rRNA from 2 species